CCUACGGGAGGCAGCAGUGAGGAAUAUUGGUCAAUGGGCGAGAGCCUGAACCAGCCAAGUCGCGUGAGGGAGUACUGCCCUAUGGGUUGUAAACCUCUUUUGUCGGGGAGCAAAAGCCGGACGUGUCCGGCUGUGAGAGUACCCGAAGAAAAAGCAUCGGCUAACUCCGUGCCAGCAGCCGCGGUAAUACGGAGUAUGCGAGCGUUAUCCGGAUUUAUUGGGGUUAAAGGGUGCGCAGGCGGAUUUUUAAGUCAGCGGUCAAAUCGUGGGGCUCAACCCCAUCCAGCCGUUGAAACUGGGGAUCUAGAGUGUGCGAGAGGUAUGCGGAAUGCGUGGUGUAGCGGUGAAAUGCAUAGAUAUCACGCAGAACCCCGAUUGCGAAGGCAGCAUACCGGUGCACAACUGACGCUCAGGCACGAAAGCGUGGGUAUCGAACAGGAUUAGAUACCCCUGUAGUC
rnacentral:rRNA from 1 species